AACGCACGAGACCUGCGGACCUGCGGAAGGAUCAUUCGUGAAGCAGGCGCUCCGUCGCCCUUCUCUACCCUUCAACCAUGUGGUCUUCUGCCAUUGCCUCGGGGGGGUUGAAGCGGCCUCGGCCGUCGGGGUCCCUUGCCGGGCCCCGCCCCCCCGCGUGCCAUCGAUAUAAAGUCUUGGAGUGAUAUUUGCGUCUGAUCAGUCCGGUGGACAUAAUGAAAAUAAAACUUUUAGCAACGG
rnacentral:misc_RNA from 1 species